rnacentral:rRNA from 1 species
CAGUCGCCACGGUAAAACGAAGGGGGCUAGCGUUGCUCGGAAUGACUGGGCGUAAAGGGCGCGUAGGCGGCGGCCAAAGUCAGGCGUGAAAUUCCCGGGCUCAACCUGGGGGCUGCGUUUGAUACUUGGUUGCUUGAGUGGGGAAGAGAGUCGUGGAAUUCCCAGUGUAGAGGUGAAAUUCGUAGAUAUUGGGAAGAACACCGGUGGCGAAGGCGGCGACCUGGUCCUUUACUGACGCUGAGGCGCGAAAGCGUGGGGAGCAAACAGGAUUAGAUACCCCAGUAGUCCCUGUCUCUUAUAC